ACUUAAAUUGAAGAGUUUGAUCAUGGCUCAGAUUGAACGCUGGCGGCAGGCCUAACACAUGCAAGUCGAGCGGUAGCACAGGGAGCUUGCUCUUUGCCGGCGAGCGGCGGACGGGUGAGUAAUGUCUGGGAAACUGCCUGAUGGAGGGGGAUAACUACUGGAAACGGUAGC
rnacentral:rRNA from 1 species